GAUGAACGCUAGCUACAGGCUUAACACAUGCAAGUCGAGGGGCAGCAUGGUCUUAGCUUGCUAAGGCCGAUGGCGACCGGCGCACGGGUGAGUAACGCGUAUCCAACCUGCCUUACACUCUUGGACAGCCUUCUGAAAGGGAGAUUAAUACAAGAUGUUAUCAUGAGUAAGCAUUUUCGCAUGAUUAAAGGUUUACCGGUGUAAGAUGGGGAUGCGUUCCAUUAGAUAGUAGGCGGGGUAACGGCCCACCUAGUCUUCGAUGGAUAGGGGUUCUGAGAGGAAGGUCCCCCACAUUGGAACUGAGACACGGUCCAAACUCCUACGGGAGGCAGCAGUGAGGAAUAUUGGUCAAUGGACGAGAGUCUGAACCAGCCAAGUAGCGUGAAGGAUGAAGGUUCUAUGGAUUGUAAACUUCUUUUAUACGGGAAUAAACGGAUCCACGUGUGGAUUUUUGCAUGUACCGUAUGAAUAAGGAU
rnacentral:rRNA from 1 species